rnacentral:rRNA from 1 species
AAAACGACUCUCGGCAACGGAUAUCUCGGCUCUCGCAUCAAUGAAAAACGUAGCGAAAUGCGAUACUUGGUGUGAAUUGCAGAAUCCCGUGAACCAUCGAGUCUUUGAACGCAAGUUGCGCCCAAAGCCUUCGGGCUAAAGGCACGUCUGCCUGGGUGUCACGC